AACCACCUGUGUACAUACCUAUAUGCUCAAGUGAGUGUUAUACUGUUUGUGAACAAACCAAUGGAAUACAGAUUUGCAUUGUGUUUUAGCUAACAUCUGUGAAAUUGAAAAGUUACUUUCUCUUAAACUUUGAAGAUAAACUUUCCUCUAAACCUUGAAUCUGGCACAGACGCAUGAAUGCAAAAGCUCUGAUGAGAGUUUUCAUCCUCUUAGACUCGGUCCAAUUACCAUCAACAUUACACUGUCUGCCAGUGAAAAAGAUAACAGAAAGAAAAUAACAUCCUCGCUCAAUCUCUACUUGGCAUCUGACAAGCAAAGUGGCUUUCCCGUUGAUGUGUUUAAUUCUUCUGAGAGAGCGGGAUGCAGAAAAAUUAAACCGCACGAGUGAAAUAGAUGGGAAACGAUAGAUGAGAAGAGGUAGAGGGUGAUAGUUAGAUAGGAUUGUUAUCAGCGUGUGAGCAGUUUUGGUUCUUUGUGCAUGUCUACCUCAUUAACAUUCUCCUGUAUGUAACACUGUGUCUCUGCCAUCCCAUUCUUUUUGGCUGCUGAAGUCUUUUUUGUUCUUGUGUAUAAAAAAUGCAGCACAUGUGAGGGAUGCUGUAAUGAGAAUUAAAAUCAGUAUCAGCUUUAAUGGCCAAGUAAAUGUGAACACAUACAAGGAAUUUUCAUCUGGCUUAUUGUUGCUCUCUAUGUACAUACACAGAAAUAGACAUAUGACUAAAACAAGGACAACAAAGCUGAACAAGGUAAACAUAAACAUUUGACUAAUAUGUACAGAUAUAAGGAUGUCACAUUCAUAUGCAUUCACAUGUAGACAAAAACACUGUGAGGAUUGUAACCAGUAGUACAAUAGUGCAAUGCAAAAGUGCAAAUGGUGCUGGAAUAAAAAAAGAAUUAUUAAUAUAACGGGUUGCAUAUAUAUCUGAGGUAGGUGGAUAUGACAUGCUUUGCUAAAGCUAUG